CAUGGCUGUUCUUAAGGCUGACAACAUAACUGAGACUGAUGUGUGCUUGCUAAAGCGAAGUAGCUAAAAUAGUUAGCAGUAGCUCCUAGGGGAACUUAAAAGCCCUGUUAUCUCCUGGGUUUGGUAUGCAGACUACCCCCAGCCCAUAAAGAAAGAAACGAUAGUACUUUAUUAAAAUACUAAAUUUUAUUUUUUUUUCCACGUACAUUUAGUCUUCCCACCACUUCCAUUUGUCUGACCACCACCACCACACCACCAUGCCUUAUCAAAACAUUCCAUACAUACUUAAAAUGAAGCUGAGGGUGGAGUCCCAUCUUUAAAAACUAAACAGGCAUUUUGGACAACACAUUCUUGGCAAGGUAAUCUGGAUGACAUUUAUCAGACACUGUAGGGAAAGCUCUUUCAGCAUUUGUAAAAAGAACAGCCAAAUAAUGGUUACAGAAGUAAGACUGCAGACUUUAACAAACUGUUUAAAUUGUUCUCUUACAGAGUCUGUCUCCACUGCCAGAGAGCUUGAAUGACCUUUUGGUCCUCCGUCCUGAAGCAAUUCUUAACAUAGUUGGCAAAUUUGGGCUCCAGCUUAGGAAGGGAACAACCCUUGUCUACGGAGGCCUGCAUUUUUGCUUUGAUCUCCUCUAACGACAGAGGAACUUUCGGUGUUUUUGGAGUUAGAGAUUUGUCCUUCUUGGAAUCUGGAGUUUUUGUUUUAGAUGCUGGUGUGGACGGCUUUGAGUCUUUUCCAUUUUGCUUUGCUUUCUGCAUAUUUUUUCCUGCAGGCUCGCGGGCAGGUUUCUUCAUUGGUGUUUUAAUCUCCUCCUCAUCAUCAUCCAAGUCGUCUUCAUCAUCCUCAUCAUCAUCCUCAUCUUCAUCAUCGUCCUCAUCAUCUUCUGAUAAUUUUGGUUUUUUCUGUGGUGUUUUAGCUCCUCCUCCACUUGCUGGUCUCUUUGUUGAAGCAUUCCCUAUUUUUGUAUCCUCCUCCUCAUCCUCUGAUUCUGGCUCUUCCUCUAAUGCUACAAGAUGCUGACCACUGACAUAAACAGGCCCCGAACCACAUUUUAACCUCAGGACAACUGGUGGUGUGAUCUCAAAUCCACCUAGUGAAACUGUAGGCUGCACAGACAUUUUCAGAGAUGCCAGUACUACUUUAGUUGGGUUGCCUUCGUAGUCCAGUGCUUCUGCUUCUACAACAUGUAAUUCGUCUUUGGCUCCAGCCCCUAAUGUAACCGUUCUCAAGGACAGCUGAUGCUCGUUUUCCUCAUCAUCUACUUUGAACUGAUAUUCCUUCUCUGCUUUAAGCUCGCAGCCGAAGAGGAAGGUCUGCGGGCGCAGCGGGCCCAUGCUCUCCAUGUCCAUGGCGCUGUCCUCCAUCUUCUCGGCCUGCUCGCGCGGGAGGAGCUGUACGGGAUGCGGCGCUGCGGACGGACGCGCACUAAAG
rnacentral:lncRNA from 1 species